rnacentral:rRNA from 1 species
UACAGAGGGUGCGAGCGUUGUCCGGAAUCACUGGGCGUAAAGGGCGCGUAGGUGGCACGACAAGUCAGUGGUGAAAGCUUGACGCUCAACGUCGAGUCGGCCACUGAUACUGUUGAGCUGGAGCACUGUAGAGGCAGAUGGAAUUCCGGGUGUAGCGGUGGAAUGCGUAGAGAUCCGGAAGAACACCGGUGGCGAAGGCGGUCUGCUGGGCAGUUGCUGACACUGAGGCGCGACAGCGUGGGGAGCAAACAGG